rnacentral:rRNA from 1 species
UGCCAGCAGCCGCGGUAACACGGGGGGCGCAAGCGUUAUUCGGAAUUAUUGGGCGUAAAGCGCGCGCAGGCGGAACUUCAAGUCAGAUGUGAAAUUUACAGGCCUAACCUGUAAGCUGCGUCUGAAACUGAAGAUCUAGAAUGAUGGAGAGGGAAGAGGAAUUUCACGUGGAGGGGUAAAAUCCGUAGAGAUGUGAAGGAACACCAGAGGCGAAGGCGUCUUCCUGGCCAUAUAUUGACGCUGAGGCGCGAAAGCGUGGGGAGCAAACAGGAUUAGAUA